UACAGAGGGUGCAAGCGUUAAUCGGAAUUACUGGGCGAAAGCGUGCGUAGACGGUUACAUAAGUCGGGUGUGAAAGCCCCGGGCUCAACCUGGGAAUUGCAUUCGAGACUGCGUAGCUAGGGUGCGGAAGAGGGAAGCGGAAUUUCCGGUGUAGCGGUGAAAUGCGUAGAUAUCGGAAGGAACACCAGUGGCGAAAGCGGCUUCCUGGUCCAGCACCGGACGUUCAGGCACGAAAGCGUGGGAGCAAACAGGG
rnacentral:rRNA from 1 species